rnacentral:rRNA from 1 species
GAUGAACGCUGGCGGCGUGCCUAAUACAUGCAAGUCGAGCGAACAGAUGAGGAGCUUGCUCCUCUGACGUUAGCGGCGGACGGGUGAGUAACACGUGGAUAACCUACCUAUAAGACUGGGAUAACUUCGGGAAACCGGAGCUAAUACCGGAUAAUAUAUUGAACCGCAUGGUUCAAUAGUGAAAGACGGUUUUGCUGUCACUUAUAGAUGGAUCCGCGCCGCAUUAGCUAGUUGGUAAGGUAACGGCUUACCAAGGCAACGAUGCGUAGCCGACCUGAGAGGGUGAGCCGCCACCCCGGAACCUAGACACGGUCCAGACUCCCAAGGGAGGCCGCAGUAGGGAAUCUUUCGCAAUGGGCGAAAGCCCGACGGAGCAACGCCGCGUGAGGUAAGAAGGGCUUUCGAUCCGAAAACUCUUUUAUUAGGGAAGAAAAAAUUUGUAAGUAACCAUGCACCGUUUGACCGUAACCAAUCAGAAAGCCACGGCUAACUACGUG